AACAAUUGCGAAGCAGUACGCUUGCUGUGGGCGUUUCAUUCAAAUACUUCGUGUUGGCGGACUAAAAGCGAUUUCCCGGACAACGCGUAAGGUCGAUAUCAGGAAUUGCACAUUUCAUGGAAAUUCCGACUUUGAGAAAAUUGGAUUCCUAACACGGGUUUCCCUUAUUUUUUGAUGGUUCUUUCGU
rnacentral:lncRNA from 1 species